rnacentral:rRNA from 1 species
CCUACGGGAGGCAGCAGUGGGGAAUAUUGCACAAUGGGCGAAAGCCUGAUGCAGCGACGCCGCGUGAGGGAUGACGGCCUUCGGGUUGUAAACCUCUUUCAGCAGGGAAGAAGCGCAAGUGACGGUACCUGCAGAAGAAGCACCGGCUAACUACGUGCCAGCAGCCGCGGUAAUACGUAGGGUGCGAGCGUUGUCCGGAAUUAUUGGGCGUAAAGAGCUCGUAGGCGGCUUGUCGCGUCGGAUGUGAAAGCCCGGGGCUUAACUCCGGGUCUGCAUUCGAUACGGGCAGGCUAGAGUUCGGUAGGGGAGAUCGGAAUUCCUGGUGUAGCGGUGAAAUGCGCAGAUAUCAGGAGGAACACCGGUGGCGAAGGCGGAUCUCUGGGCCGAUACUGACGCUGAGGAGCGAAAGCGUGGGGAGCGAACAGGAUUAGAUACCCUGGUAGUCCACGCCGUAAACGUUGGGAACUAGGUGUGGGCGACAUUCCACGUCGUCCGUGCCGCAGCUAACGCAUUAAGUUCCCCGCCUGGGGAGUACGGCCGCAAGGCUAAAACUCAAAGUGAAGUGCGNGNGAGNGCGACGACGACGACGACGGAGGAGGAG